GUGCCAGCCGCCGCGGUAAUACGGAGGGUGCGAGCGUUAAUCGGAAUUACUGGGCGUAAAGCGCACGUAGGCGGUCAGGCAAGUCGGGUGUGAAAGCCCUGGGCUCAACCUGGGAAUUGCAUUCGAAACUAUCUGACUCGAGUAUGGGAGAGGGAAGCGGAAUUUCCGGUGUAGCGGUGAAAUGCGUAGAUAUCGGAAGGAACACCAGUGGCGAAGGCGGCUUCCUGGACUAAUACUGACGCUGAGGUGCGAAAGCGUGGGGAGCAAACAGGAUUAGAAACCCUCGUAGUCC
rnacentral:rRNA from 1 species